UAUUGAUGGUGAGGACAUUAAGAGAGAAGUAGCUUAAAGUACUCCCAUGCUUCAUGAAUUGGUUCACCUUCCAUCUAUGAAAAUGUGCAAUCUUGUUUGUUAAGUC